rnacentral:rRNA from 1 species
GAUGAACGCUGGCGGCGUGCCUAAUACAUGCAAGUCGAGCGAACAGACGAGGAGCUUGCUCCUCUGACGUUAGCGGCGGACGGGUGAGUAACACGUGGAUAACCUACCUAUAAGACUGGGAUAACUUCGGGAAACCGGAGCUAAUGCCGGAUAAUAUAUUGAACCGCAUGGUUCAAUAGUGAAAGACGGUUUUGCUGUCACUUAUAGAUGGAUCCGCGCCGCAUUAGCUAGUUGGUAAGGUAACGGCUUACCAAGGCGACGAUGCGUAGCCGACCUGAGAGGGUGAUCGGCCACACUGGAACUGAGACACGGUCCAGACUCCUACGGGAGGCAGCAGUAGGGAAUCUUCCGCAAUGGGCGAAAGCUUGACGGAGCAACGCCGCGUGAGUGAUGAAGGUCUUCGGAUCGUAAAACUCUGUUAUUAGGGAAGAACAAAUGUGUAAGUAACUAUGCACGUCUUGACGGUACCUAAUCAGAAAGCCACGGCUAACUACGUG